GUAAACCUGGCUCCCUUGUGGUUGUGGCAGUCUAUGUGGAUGAUAUUAUCCUUACCAGGGAUGACAGUGAUGAAAUUACUGCCCUGAAACUAUUUCUGGAUGAUCAGUUUAAAAUCAAAGAUUUAGGAUCUUUGCAUUAUUUUUUGGGCCUUGAAAAUCAGUUGUUCCUGGUGGAAUGAUCCUUAAUCAGCAUAAGUAUAUUUCUGAUUUACUGCAUCAGUUUGAAUGUGCAAAUGUCUCCUCUGUUGUUUCUCCUUUGGACAUUAAUAUAAAACUUCAUGCUGAUUCUGGUGACCUCUUAUCCUCUCCUGACCAGUACAUGAGUCUAGUUGGUAAGAUGUUAUUUCUGACUCAUACUAGGCCUGACAUAUGCGUCGCAGUUCAACAUCUGAGUCAAUUCCUCAAGUGCCCCAGACUUCCCCAUAUGACUGCUGCCUUGCAUGUUUUGAGAUACCUUAAAGGCACUCCUUCUAUGGGUUUAUUUUAUUCUGCCCAUGCUGAUUUUUCUGUUACUGGCUAUUCUGAUAGUGACUGGUCUGCAUGCCCUGAUACUAGACGAUCUGUUACUGGAUUUUGUGUGCUUUUGGGUGGUUGCCUGAUUAGUUGGAAAUCGAAGAAACAACCUGUUGUUUCUCUGUCUUCUGCUGAGGCAGAAUAUCGAGCCCUCAGCAAAGUUGUUGCUGAGUUAACUUGGCUUUCUCGUUUGUUGGUUGAUCUUGGGGUACCUGUUUCUCCUCCUUUUUCUGUAUAUUGUGACAGCCAGGCUGCUGUUUAUAUAGCUAACAAUCAUGUUUUUCAUGAACGUACCAAACACAUCGAGGUGGACUGCCAUUUUGUUCGGAACCUGUUACAGACUGGUUUUCUCAAGCUGCUUCAUAUUCCUACUUCUCGUCAGCUGGCUGACCUGCUCACUAAGCCAUUGCCUGGCACUGUGCUUCAUCCACUGUUAUCCAAGUUGCAGGUGGUUUUCCCCUCCAACUUGAGGGGGGAUGUUGAUUCUUUGUUGAUUGAAGGCCGAUCUUCUCCGGUCGCGAAGAACCAUUGCCUGGCACUGUGCUUCAUCCACUGAAUCCAAGUUGCAGGUGGUUUCACCCUCCAACUUGAGGGAUGGUGUUGAGAUGAAAGACUAUACAUGAUUGUACACACUGUAUACACAUUGUAUAUUUCUUGUAUUUUCCGGUAUACAAUAUAUUGGGAUGUGAUGAUUGUUAUUAGAGUAGUAUAUAUAUCUGAGCCCAUUGUUAGUUUGAUAUUGGGCCGUCUGAC
rnacentral:lncRNA from 1 species